UCCAGGACGUCUAGUGGAUAUGAUGG
rnacentral:piRNA from 1 species